AAAGUCGUAACAAGGUUUCCGUAGGUGAACCUGCGGAAGGAUCAUUAACAAAUCCUUAUGGAUUUCACAUCCAUAUCCACCUUUUGUGCACUGUACCGUCCAUUCUGGGGGGAUAAUGCUUGUGCGAGCUGAGAUGGCUUUGCCAGGCGCUUUGGCUUCACAAAAUGUGCUAGGCCCUAAGGUUGCAAAUAUGGUUUCGGGUGCGAUGGCGAUUGACCAUCUCAUCUGGGAGCGUCUUUUCUUCUUUAGUUGUUGGACUAGUGCAGAAGACAGAGGUCCUCCCAGAACUUUAAUACAAACCAGUAUUUUACGUAUGGCUGAAGCAAAUGAUAAGAUUGAAUAAAUCUAAAAACAACUUUUAACAACGGAUCUCUUGGCUCUC
rnacentral:misc_RNA from 1 species